rnacentral:rRNA from 1 species
GACGAACGCUGGCGGCGUGCCUAAUACAUGCGAGUCGAGCGCAGGAAACUGACGGAACUCUUCGGAGGGAAGGCAGUGGAAUGAGCGGCGGACGGGUGAGUAACACGUAAGAAACCCGCCUCAAGGAUUGGGAUAACUCCGAGAAAUCGGAGCUAAUACCGGAUAGUUCAACGGACCGCAUGGUCCGCUGAUGAAAGGCGCUCCGGCGUCACCUUGAGAUGGCCUUGCGGUGCAUUAGCUAGUUGGUGGGGUAACGGCCCACCAAGGCGACGAUGCAUAGCCGGCCUGAGAGGGUGAUCGGCCACACUGGGACUGAGACACGGCCCAGACUCCUACGGGAGGCAGCAGUAGGGAAUCUUCCACAAUGGACGAAAGUCUGAUGGAGCAACGCCGCGUGAGUGAUGAAGGUUUUCGGAUCGUAAAACUCUGUUGUAAGGGAAGAACACGUACGAGAGGAAAUGCUCGUACCUUGACGGUACCUUACGAGAAAGCCACGGCUAACUACGUGCCAGCCGCCGCGGUAA